AGUGAACGCUGGCGCCGGCCUAACACAUGCCAGUCGAGCGGCAGCGCGGGGGCAACCCUGGCGGCGAGCGGCGGACGGGUGAGGAAUUCGUCGGAAUCUGCCUUUUUGUGGGGGAUAACGUAGGGAAACUUACGCUAAUACCGCAUACGUCCUACGGGAGAAAGUGGGGGACCGCAAGGCCUCACGCAGAAAGAUGAGCCGACGACCGAUUAGCUAGUUGGUGGGGUAAAGGCCCACCAAGGCGACGAUCGGUAGCUGGGCUGAGAGGAUGAUCAGCCACACUGGGACUGAGACACGGCCCAGACUCCUACGGGAGGCAGCAGUGGGGAAUAUUGGACAAUGGGCGCAAGCCUGAUCCAGCCAUGCCGCGUGUGUGAAGAAGGCCUUCGGGUUGUAAAGCACUUUUGUCCGGAAAGAAAUCCCUGGAGCUAAUACCUUCGGGGGAUGACGGUACCGGAAGAAUAAGCACCGGCUAACUUCGUG
rnacentral:rRNA from 1 species